GGAUCAAUUUAUUGGUCGUGCCAUUGUACGUACUGGUAUUAUUGAUUCCUACCUUCUGACGAACCAUGAUGUCAUUAAUUUGGUGUCAUGGGGAAUCAGGACUGUUACUUUGAAAAAAUUAGAGUGUUUAAAGCAGGCUCACGCUUGAAUACAUUAGCAUGGAAUAACGAAAUAGGACGUUUGAUUCUAUUUUGUUGGUUUCUAGGAUCGACGUA
rnacentral:rRNA from 1 species